GACGAACGCUGGCGGCGUGCCUAAUACAUGCAAGUCGAGAGGACGAAUCGAAAGCUUGCUUUUGAUUCGUUAGCGGCGGACGGGUGAGUAACACGUGGGCAACCUGCCCUGUAGACGGGGAUAACACCGAGAAAUCGGUGCUAAUACCGGAUAACACGAAAUGUCGCAUGACGUUUCGUUGAAAGACGGCGCAAGCUGCCGCUACAGGAUGGGCCCGCGGCGCAUUAGCUAGUUGGUGAGGUAACGGCUCACCAAGGCGACGAUACGUAGCCGACCUGAGAGGGUGAUCGGCCACACUGGGACUGAGACACGGCCCAGACUCCUACGGGAGGCAGCAGUAGGGAAUCUUCCGCAAUGGACGAAAGUCUGACGGAGCAACGCCGCGUGAGCGAAGAAGGCCUUCGGGUCGUAAAGCUCUGUUGUUAGGGAAGAACAAGUAACGCAGUAACUGGCGUUACCGUGACGGUACCUAACGAGAAAGCCACGGCUAACUACGUG
rnacentral:rRNA from 1 species